rnacentral:misc_RNA from 1 species
GAAAUGCGAUAAGUAAUGUGAAUUGCAGAGUCUUGUGAAUCAUCGAAUCUUUGAACGCACAUUGCGCCCCUCGGCAUUCCGACGGGCAUGCCUGUCCGAGCGUCGUUGCAACCCAUCGAGUGAAAUGUCUCUCGGUCUUGGGCGCCGUCCCCCGUGUCCCUCCCCCCCCGGGGGGAAUGGGGACGGGCCCCAAAGCCAUCGGCGGCCUCGAGCGCGCGCCGGAGCGUCUUCGAAAGCAAUCGCUCCGCGCGUCGCGCCCGGGGACCCGGCCGGCAAAGUAACGCACACCCAAACCGUCUGACCUCGGAUCAGGUAGGGCUACCCGCUGAACUUAAGC